rnacentral:rRNA from 1 species
UACGUAGGGUCCGAGCGUUGUCCGGAAUUAUUGGGCGUAAAGGGCUCGUAGGCGGUCCGUCACGUCGGGAGUGAAAACUCAGGGCUCAACCCUGAGCGUGCUUUCGAUACGGGCGGACUAGAGGUAUGCAGGGGAGAACGGAAUUCCUGGUGUAGCGGUGGAAUGCGCAGAUAUCAGGAGGAACACCGGUGGCGAAGGCGGGUCUCUGGGCAGUAACUGACGCUGAGGAGCGAAAGCGUGGGGAGCGAACAGG